rnacentral:rRNA from 1 species
AUGGAGAAUCUAACAUCUCAAAUAUGCAAUUUGUUUGUUCCAGAAGCCACGAAAUUGAGGCGGAUGUGUCUCAGACCUAAGUUGUUGCAGCUGGACCGUGGUUCCAUGCAUCCUCGCUUGGAGGCAGUGGUGCUGGGAGAUAUGCAUGUGCAAGGCGAAGAAGUGGACGAAGGCCUGAAGAAGCAAUCUAUGCCUCCCUAUCGCUGGGCUGAUCGAGCGAUGCGCUUCAGCGGCUGCCUCACCGACGACGGUGAAGGAAGGAUCAGAAGUGCCGGCUAUAGCGCUAGGAAAUUGGAAACCCUAGCAGUUGAUCUUCUCUAUAAAACAUGUGUGGCAAGGGGGGUGGAACCUGCUUCAGGGAAGGAGAUAGAUGACGUGAGAGAAGAGACCAGCUUGCAUCCUUUAUCUGACAGCCAAUUGUUUUUUUUUUGCCAAUUGCCUACUCCAUAUUGUCCAUGUGUUCGAUGCAUGCAAACGUGUGGCUCUUGA